GACUGCUACCGCUCCGCUCUGUCUGAAGCUGCAUGUUUGCUCUCCUCGCACAGCAGCUCCUGCAGAGGCAGCACGGACUUCUGAAGCUGUAAAAAUCAUGCAGAGGGAAAACUUCUCUCACCAUUCUGGAAGCAUCUGAAGUGAUGAUCAGCAGAAAAAAAACUCCUGAUUUAUUCCUUUCUUCGAUUUUUCCUGAUGAGGAAGAUUCCCCUGAAUGGACGAUGGAAAGUGCAGGUCUAACUUUGUUCAGGAGGAAUCCCAGUGCCACAGGCAGCUCAUCUCCAGGGUCCAGAUAAGAGAACUUAAUUAAGUCAGGCUUGUUUUCCU